rnacentral:ncRNA from 2 species
CUCUUAUUUAGAGUGGCAGAGGGAAUAGGCCUGUGAAGCCCGGCAACCGUCAGUUUGAACAACAAAUUGAAAAGGUGCUACAUCCUACAGGUUAGACCUGAAAGAUAAGAG